AUGGCAGGGAUUGCAAAUAUUUGGAGACGUUUCUGCAAGGCUCGUAUUUCAGUCAGGUUUGCAUUACAGUUGUGGGGUGGCAGGCACAUCUUAUUUUGGAGAGAUUGCUCGAUCAAUGGUUAUUCUGUUGCUGAGUUUUCGCCGCUAGUUCUGGAGUUCAUUCGGCUGCCCUGGUCUGUUGCUGGAGUUCAUUCGGCCAGCUUUGUGUACCGUUUGCUUACUAUCUUCACCGGUGCUGACUGCACAUGGAGAUGCUGGGCACCCUUAACCUGCAAGAUAAUUGCCUGGCUAGCGUAUACAAUAUCAGCUUUGGACCUGAAUGGGACAACUUCUGAUUAG
rnacentral:rRNA from 1 species